GGGGUUGUGGCUCAGAGGUAGAGCCCUUGCCUAGCAUGCAUUAGACACUGGGUUCAAUCCUCAGCACCA
rnacentral:tRNA from 1 species